UACGGAGGAUCCAAGCGUUAUCCGGAUUUAUUGGGUUUAAAGGGUGCGUAGGCAGCUUAUUAAGUCAGGGGUGAAAGACGGUGGCUCAACCAUCGCAGUGCCCUUGAUACUGAUGAGCUUGAAUACACUUGAGGUAGGCGGAAUGUGACAAGUAGCGGUGAAAUGCAUAGAUAUGUCACAGAACACCAAUUGCGAAGGCAGCUUACUAAGGUGCAAUUGACGCUGAGGCACGAAAGCGUGGGGAUCAAACAGG
rnacentral:rRNA from 1 species